AGAGUUUGAUCCUGGCUCAGAACGAACGCUGGCGGCAGGCUUAACACAUGCAAGUCGAACGGUUGUAGCAAUACAGCAGUGGCGCACGGGUGAGUAACGCGUGGGAACGUGCCCUUCAGUCGGGAAUAACAGCGGGAAACUGCUGCUAAUACCCGAUAUUAUCUCCGGAUGAAAGAUUUAUCGCUGAAGGAUCGGCCCGC
rnacentral:rRNA from 1 species